CUCAACUGUUAUUGGUCAGCUGGGUUCGGCGUGUGUUUGAAAGGUUACGCCCCUGACUACGCGUGGGUUGACACAGAUUCUGACUGAGAGUCACAGCCUCAGAGGCAACGUAAACAAGCGUUAUAUUUCUCUAUAAACGAUGGUGUCUGUACUGCCUUACCACUUCGAGCUCGAUCCAGAGAGUUCAGAAGGCCGUUACGAUAUAAACGAUCUCCGUCAAUGAACGCGAUUGGAUUUAACUUUUUUAGGUGUCCUUAGCUCUGCCAGAAUGCUAAACGAAGACGAAAAUGUGUUGCAAAGACAUCCAAAAGGUUUUAAGGAGAAUGCAACAGGUUCCAGGGCCUCUUACCUGCGUGAUUCAUCAUCCAGGUUUUGCACAAAUUGUCUAAAUCCCUACACACAGAACAUUUAUUGUACCGACUAUAAGCCUUUGAGGCGCAGGACUAGAAUAUGCUUGGAGCUUCCUGAUCGGAAUGUUGGCUUUCGACGACCCCUGCACUGAAGAUGGCAUGCAAUCACGUCCUCCUUUGAAGGUCUCUCAAACUGUGAUGCCAGGUCCAUUGGAAUCAGGGCUUCCUUCAGCUUAUCUUCAAAUACCUCAGCAAACACAAGCCUGAUCA